UAGGGAAUAUUGGACAAUGGGGGCAACCCUGAUCCAGCCAUGCCGCGUGAGUGAAGAAGGCCCUCGGGUUGUAAAGCUCUUUUGUCCGGAAAGAAAAGCAUUCGGUGAAUACCCGGAUGUUCUGACGGUACCGGAAGAAUAAGCACCGGCUAACUUCGUGCCAGCAGCCGCGGUAAUACGAAGGGUGCAAGCGUUACUCGGAAUUACUGGGCGUAAAGCGUGCGUAGGUGGUUGUUUAAGUCUGAUGUGAAAGCCCUGGGCUCAACCUGGGAAUGGCAUUGGAAACUGGGCAGCUAGAGUGCGGUAGAGGGUAGUGGAAUUCCCGGUGUAGCAGUGAAAUGCAUAGAGAUCGGGAGGAACAUCUGUGGCGAAGGCGACUGCCUGGACCGGCACUGACACUGAGGCACGAAAGCGUGGGGAGCAAACA
rnacentral:rRNA from 1 species